GAUGAACGCUGGCGGCGUGCUUAACACAUGCAAGUCGAACGAAGCACCUUGAUUCGAUUCUUCGGAUGAAGAUCUUGGUGACUGAGUGGCGGACGGGUGAGUAACGCGUGGGUAACCUGCCUCAUACAGGGGGAUAACAGUUAGAAAUGACUGCUAAUACCGCAUAAGACCACAGCACCGCAUGGUGCAGGGGUAAAAACUCCGGUGGUAUGAGAUGGACCCGCGUCUGAUUAGGUAGUUGGUGGGGUAACGGCCUACCAAGCCGACGAUCAGUAGCCGACCUGAGAGGGUGACCGGCCACAUUGGGACUGAGACACGGCCCAAACUCCUACGGGAGGCAGCAGUGGGGAAUAUUGCACAAUGGGGGAAACCCUGAUGCAGCGACGCCGCGUGAGCGAUGAAGUAUUUCGGUAUGUAAAGCUCUAUCAGCAGGGAAGAAAAUGACGGUACCUGACGAAGAAGCACCGGCUAAAUACGCG
rnacentral:rRNA from 1 species